rnacentral:rRNA from 1 species
GUACUCGAGCGGCGAACGGGUGAGUAACACGUGAGCAACCUGCCCCUGACUCUGGGAUAAGCCCGGGAAACUGGGUCUAAUACCGGAUACGACCGCCCCCGGCAUCGGGUGGUGGUGGAAAGUUUUUCGGUUGGGGAUGGGCUCGCGGCCUAUCAGCUUGUUGGUGGGGUAGUGGCCUACCAAGGCGACGACGGGUAGCCGGCCUGAGAGGGCGACCGGCCACACUGGGACUGAGACACGGCCCAGACUCCUACGGGAGGCAGCAGUGGGGAAUAUUGCGCAAUGGGCGGAAGCCUGACGCAGCGACGCCGCGUGGGGGAUGACGGCCUUCGGGUUGUAAACCUCUUUCAGCAGGGACGAAGUUGACGUGUACCUGCAGAAGAAGCGCCGGCUAACUACGUGCCAGCAGCCGCGGUAAUACGUAGGGCGCAAGCGUUGUCCGGAAUUAUUGGGCGUAAAGAGCUCGUAGGUGGCUUGUCGCGUCGGAUGUGAAAGCCCGCAGCUUAACUGCGGGUCUGCAUUUGAUACGGGCAGGCUAGAGGUAGGUAGGGGAGAACGGAAUUCCUGGUGUAGCGGUGAAAUGCGCAGAUAUCAGGAGGAACACCGGUGGCGAAGGCGGUUCUCUGGGCCUUACCUGACGCUGAGGAGCGAAAGCGUGGGGAGCGAACAGGAUUAGAUACCCUGGUAGUCCACGCUGUAAACGUUGGGCGCUAGGGUGUG